AUCGAAGAAAGAGAUAUGGACCGUUUUGUCUGCGAGAAAGAAAGGAUAAAAGAAAGAUAUUGUCUCUCUUGACACAUUUUGUUUCGUUUCGUUUCGUUUCGUUUCAUUUCGUUUCGUUUCUU
rnacentral:ribozyme from 1 species